CCUACGGGAGGCAGCAGUGGGGGAUAUUGCACAAUGGGGGAAACCCUGAUGCAGCGACGCCGCGUGUGGGAAGACGGUCCUCUGGAUUGUAAACCACUGUCCCCAGGGACGAAGAUGACGGUACCUGGGGAGGAAGCUCCGGCUAACUACGUGCCAGCAGCCGCGGUAAUACGUAGGGAGCGAGCGUUGUCCGGAAUUACUGGGUGGAAAGGGAGCGUAGGCGGGACUGAAAGUUGGGUGUCAAAUCUACCGGAGAAACCGGUAGCCGCACUGAAAACUGCAGUUCUUGAGUGAAGUAGAGGGAGGCGGAAUUCCUAGUGUAGCGGUGAAAUGCGUAGAUAUUAGGAGGAACACCAGUGGCGAAGGCGGCCUGCUGGGCUUUUACUGACGCUGAGGCUCGAAAGUGUGGGGAGCAAACAGGAUUAGAUACCCUAGUAGUC
rnacentral:rRNA from 1 species